rnacentral:tRNA from 1 species
UUGAUAGAAACCAAACUAGAGGUAUGUCACUGUUAAUGACAAAAUUGAAUUUUAUUUUUCCUAUCAAG